CAAAAAGGAGAUUGAAGAUGACCUUUUGGCUAUGGGAGGAAAGCUGCCUCUCAAGCCCAAGAAGAGACCCGCAGCUGCCAAGAAAUACAUAAGGGUUAGUUUUUUUGCAUCUCUCUCACUGAAAUAGGUUUGUCUUUUUGGCAUCUCUUGUAAAGCAUUCUUUUGUUGAUUUUGCGGGAUAUCUGUAUUAGGAAUGAUUUGCCUCAUAUUUCUCUUGCCCGAUAUUUGGUUAAAGAAGCAAACAGUGUCCAAGAAGACAAGGAUG
rnacentral:lncRNA from 1 species